CUGGCAUUUAUGCUUACAACUAAACACCUCGUUCGGUCAAAGAUUUGACCUACUCCUCCUGCACUGUGUGUUUCGUACUAAAGCUGAUUCAUUUUAUAAUCUACUUUUCAAGAAAAUGUCUAGUCUGGUUAAAUGUUCCAUGAACAGAAUUGCACCAUUGGUUCGCACAAAUAUCACACAGAAAGCGACAUUUCUUUCAGGCCCUCCAAAGCAUCCAUCGUCCUUCGUGAGCAAAAUUACUGUUGGAGGAGGCAUGUGUUUGACGAUUGUUGCCCCCAUGUUCUGGAUAAUGGCAAACAUCAAGCACUAUAAGAAUCCUGAUGGAGUUGCACAAGAUGAAGAAUAAUAGUUCUGUUGUGUUUGAAUGAAUAGCAGACAGAAUGUUAACAUUUUGAUGAAAAAAUCACAAAUCUGAAAUCAGUGUGAUACAAUUUUCCAGUUGAUACUUAUUAAAAUGAUUGAUUUUUACA